rnacentral:rRNA from 1 species
AGAGUUUGAUCCUGGCUCAGGAUGAACGCUGGCGGCGUGCUUAACACAUGCAAGUCGGACGAACCUUCGGGUUAGUGGCGGACGGGUGAGUAACGCGUGAGAAUCUGCCCUCAGGAGGGGGAUAACAGUUGGAAACGACUGCUAAUACCCCAUAUGCCGAGAGGUGAAAUGAAUUUCGCCUGGGGAUGAGCUCGCGUCUGAUUAGCUUGUUGGUGGGGUAAUAGCCUACCAAGGCUUCGAUCAGUAGCUGGUCUGAGAGGACGAUCAGCCACACUGGGACUGAGACACGGCCCAGACUCCUACGGGAGGCAGCAGUGGGGAAUUUUCCGCAAUGGGCGAAAGCCUGACGGAGCAACGCCGCGUGAGGGAUGGAGGCCUUUGGGCUGUAAACCUCUUUUCUCAAGGAAGAAGAUCUGACGGUACUUGAGGAAUAAGCCACGGCUAAUUCCGUGCCAGCAGCCGCGGUAAUACGGGAGUGGCAAGCGUUAUCCGGAAUUAUUGGGCGUAAAGCGUCCGCAGGCGGCCGUUUAAGUCUGUUGUUAAAUCGUGGAGCUCAACUCCAUCACGGCAAUGGAAACUGUUCGGCUUGAGUAUGGUAGGGGCAGAGGGAAUUUCCGGUGUAGCGGUGAAAUGCGUAGAUAUCGGGAAGAACACCAGUGGCGAAAGCGCUCUGCUGGGCCAUUACUGACGCUCAUGGACGAAAGCCAGGGGAGCGAAAGGGAUUAGAUACCCCUGUAGUCCUGGCCGUAAACGAUGAACACUAGAUGUUGGGGGAAUCGACCCCCUCGGUGUCGUAGCUAACGCGUUAAGUGUUCCGCCUGGGGAGUACGCACGCAAGUGUGAAACUCAAAGGAAUUGACGGGGGCCCGCGCAAGCGGUGGAGUAUGUGGUUUAAUUCGAUGCAACGCGAAGAACCUUACCAAGGCUUGACAUCCUGCGAAUCUCUAAGAAAUUAGAGAGUGCCUUCGGGAGCGCAGUGACAGGUGGUGCAUGGCUGUCGUCAGCUCGUGUCGUGGGAUGUUGGGUUAAGCCCCGCAACGAGCGCAACCCACGUUUUUAGUUGCCAGCAUUCAGUUGGGCACUCUAGAAAGACUGCCGGUGACAAACCGGAGGAAGGUGUGGACGACGUCAAGUCAUCAUGCCCCUUACGCCUUGGGCUACACACGUACUACAAUGCUGCGGACAAAGAGUAGCGAUCUUGCGAAAGUUAGCUAAUCUCAUAAACCGUGGCUCAGUUCAGAUCGUAGGCUGCAACUCGCCUACGUGAAGGAGGAAUCGCUAGUAAUCGCAGGUCAGCAUACUGCGGUGAAUACGUUCCCGGGCCUUGUACACACCGCCCGUCACACCAUGGAAGUUGGCCAUGCCCGAAGUCGUUACUCUAACCUUUUGGAAGAGGGCGCCGAAGGCAGGGCUAAUGACUGGGGUGAAGUCGUAACAAGGUAACC